rnacentral:rRNA from 1 species
ACACGUAUCCAACCUGCCGUCUACUCUUGGACAGCCUUCUGAAGGGAAGAUUAAUACAAGAUGGCAUCAUGAGUCCGCAUGUUCACAUGAUUAAAGGUAUUCCGGUAGACGAUGGGGAUGCGUUCCAUUAGAUAGUAGGCGGGGUAACGGCCCACCUAGUCUUCGAUGGAUAGGGGUUCUGAGAGGAAGGUCCCCCACAUUGGAACUGAGACACGGUCCAAACUCCUACGGGAGGCAGCAGUGAGGAAUAUUGGUCAAUGGGCGAGAGCCUGAACCAGCCAAGUAGCGUGAAGGAUGACUGCCCUAUGGGUUGUAAACUUCUUUUAUAAAGGAAUAAAGUCGGGUAUGCAUACCCGUUUGCAUGUACUUUAUGAAUAAGGAUCGGCUAACUCCGUGCCAGCAGCCGCGGUAAUACGGAGGAUCCGAGCGUUAUCCGGAUUUAUUGGGUUUAAAGGGAGCGUAGAUGGAUGUUUAAGUCAGUUGUGAAAGUUUGCGGCUCAACCGUAAAAUUGCAGUUGAUACUGGAUAUCUUGAGUGCAGUUGAGGCAGGCGGAAUUCGUGGUGUAGCGGUGAAAUGCUUAGAUAUCACGAAGAACUCCGAUUGCGAAGGCAGCCUGCUAAGCUGCAACUGACAUUGAGGCUCGAAAGUGUGGGUAUCAAACAGGAUUAGAUACCCUGGUAGUCCACACGGUAAACGAUGAAUACUCGCUGUUUGUGAUAUACAGCAAGCGGCCAAGCGAAAGCGUUAAGUAUUCCACCUGGGGAGUAC